CCAACAAUUAAUUGCUAUUGAUUACGCUACAUUACNUCACUGACCGUGAUAAUGUAGCGUAAUCAAUAGCCAAUUAAUUGUUGGCCGGUAUGAAUGGCGUUACGAAGGCCCCACUGUCUUAAGAGGACUCUCCAUGAAAUUGAAUUCGUAGUGAAGAUGCUACGUCCAUAUUGUAAGACGAAAAGACCCCAUUGAGCUUUACUAAAGACUUGCAUGGCUCAAAAUAAUUUGACUUAAAUAAAAAGUUUAGAUAAUGUGGGACCCGUUUCCGGUUAAUGAAACACCACUCUUUUAUUUUAAGAGAGCUAACAUUACAGGGAUAGUGUAAGUUGGAUAGUUUGGUUGGGGCGACCACCUUUUAAAAGGUAACGAAGGUGAGCUUAAGGUCCGUAGUUAAUAGCCGGUGGCCUGACUGCAAGGGGGACGUCUCGAGCAGACACGUCCUUAGGGAUGUGGACUAUAGUGACCCGUCAUCUUAGUGUGGAAUAGUUGACGAUCAACGAAUAAAAGCUACCAUGGGGGGGUAAUG
rnacentral:rRNA from 1 species